rnacentral:lncRNA from 12 species
CCCCCCCCCCCCCCCCCCCCCCCCCCCCCCCCCCCCCCCCCCCCCCCCCGCGUCCCGGGUGUGCCCACGUGUGUCCCAGUGUGUCUCAGGUGUGUCCCAGGUGUGUCCCAGGUGUGUCCCAGGUGUGUCCCAGGUGUCUCAGGUGUGUCCCAGGUGUGUCCCAGGUGUGUCCCAGGUGUGUC